AACAGGGGAAACCCUGACGCAGCGACGCCGCGUGCGGGAAGAAGGCCUUCGGGUUGUAAACCUCUUUCAGCAGGGACGAAGCGCAAGUGACGGUACCUGCAGAAGAAGGACCGGCCAACUACGUGCCAGCAGCCGCGGUAAUACGUAGGGUCCGAGCGUUGUCCGGAAUUACUGGGCGUAAAGAGCUCGUAGGUGGUUUGUCGCGUUGUUCGUGAAAAACUCACAGCUUAACUGUGGGCGUGCGGGCGAUACGGGCAGACUUGAGUACUGCAGGGGAGACUGGAAUUCCUGGUGUAGCGGUGGAAUGCGCAGAUAUCAGGAGGAACACCGGUGGCGAAGGCGGGUCUCUGGGCAGUAACUGACGCUGAGGAGCGAAAGCGUGGGGAGCGAACAGGAUUAGAUACCCUGGUAGUCCACGCCGUAAACGGUGGGUACUAGGUGUGGGUUUCCUUCCUUGGGAUCCGUGCCGUAGCUAACGCAUUAAGUACCCCGCCUGGGGAGUACGGCCGCAAGGCUA
rnacentral:rRNA from 1 species